ACUUGAAUAGCUUAUUUUUAGAGCGCGACACUGAAGAUGUCGAUGAGGUAUUAUUAUCUUUAAGUG
rnacentral:tRNA from 1 species